ACAUAAUAAAUAAUCAUAUGGUGCCCUAACGGGUUAAUAGGGAAAGCGGUGCAAAACCGCUGCAGCCCCCGCUACUGUAUGUGGGUAUGAAAUCCGACAAGCCAUUGUUAUGCGAGAAGGCCGGAGAGUAAGAAGAUCCACGAGCCAGGAAACCUGCCUAUGAUAUAUUUUCUAC
rfam:Clostridia bacterium BRH_c25 BRHa_1001529, whole genome shotgun sequence.